UCCCGGAAGCGCUGGGACGGGUGGUGAGGGGCCCGGGCAGGUGGCGCGCCUUAGAGAGGAUGCUGUUCCUGCUGCUUUCCGUGCGUGUUUUCUGAAAGGUUGGAGGAGAUUAGGUGUCUCUCGGGCUGACAUUUGAAGGUCUGGAGCUGGCCGUUUAUGAGGGUUUAUAAGGGUUUUAAGUGCUCCGGCCAUGGGCACCAACCCGAUCUUCCAGCCCCUGCGGACGGACCGCCUCCCCCGCCCCGGGGGGAUUGGCUGCUCUGGGACCCCGAGCCCAGAGGACGGUGAGAAGCUGACAAACAUACAGACCAGAAGAGGAGUUUGGGGCUUGACACCUGACAUCUUAACACCAGUUCCUGUUUCUUGAGGAAGGAAGAGGUAAAAUAAAUCAGCGUUUUCUGUGUCCUUCUCCAUCCCCGGAAGUCCUCAUGAAGACCCUCUCAGCUUCAACUUGAACGUGAAUAUGAGCAGCUGAUCAUCUGUUCUGCAGUCAGCCCCUGGCCAGAUUCUGACUCAUGAUAUUGACCUUCUCCAUCAUCACCUUCCACAAAUUUGAUUCCUGUCUAUUCUGCCUGGAAUGGUUCACGAGUAUAGUCACCGUUUAUGCUCCUGAUGAAAGGACAUGCUAAAUACAGAAAAUAUCCUGCAAGCACUGGAUCAACUCUUAUCCAGAAAUGGAAAACACCCAGGAGGAUUUUGCUACACCAGCUCCCCCUUCCACUCCCCUAAUCCUAAUCGUAAACCCAAAUUCACCCUGUGAGGACAGAAGACAUGACUGGGAGUGACAGACUCUCCUGCGAGGGACAGGGUCAGAGACGGAGGAAGCGAGGGCUUUCAGGCGAGGUGAAUUCUGAAGUCUCCUGAUGAUCAAACAGAAAGCCCUGGAUGAUCAGAGGUGUAGAGACCAGAAGAGCUCAUUGUCUCCAAGAACAAGCAUGAAAUCUGCUGGGUCUGACUGUUGAGUGGUCUGUGGUGUGUUCUUCUUCCAGUGAUUAAAAUCUUUGUAUCUGUUGUUAAAGAUAUUUUCCCCGUUCAAAAAAAAAAAUCCAACAAAAUGUUUUUAAAAUAAUGUAUCUAUGAUGAUGUUUAUCAACUUUCAAAGCUCUGAAAGUCUUUUGUAUAACACCUCUAAGGGUACAGAUUUGUAUAAUGAAAAAGUUACAGUCAUGGCCCCACCCUCAUAUGUAAUUUGGUCCUGCACCCCCAAGGCGUCCAGUGUUAAUAGACACGUGUAUCUUUCCCUAUGUUUCUCAGCUGGGACCCACACACACAGUCACAGGUUCACAAGUAGAUCCCCUGGUUUGUUUGCUCUAAUGGAAAUUGGGUCAUACUCUACCCACGGUGCUCUGUAAAUUGCUGAUUCCCUGAAGGUCAUUAGGUAUGGCACUAACACUGCCUUUUUGGGUCUUCUAAGAUUGAACUCAUAUUUACACAUAAAGCAUUUAAAUAGAUGAGAACAAUUACUGUAUACACUAUCUAGACUCAUACAUAGCACUACUACAGUGGAAACACAUAUCACCAGUGCUUUCUAAGUCCGCUCUUCCUGCAUGUUCUAACUCCCCCGCCCCCACCAGUCCUUUUCCAGAAGUGAAUCCAAGGUAAUUCAGGUUAACAAUGUGGUAAGUACUCUCUCUUACCCUUGCUUAUACGAGCACACACAGACACAAAUGUAUCUUCGUCUGCUCAUUUACACACUCACAUAAACACAAACAGGUAUUCAAGCAUACUCAAACAAUUGCUAUUGCUUUACCCUAAUGUGCUCAUUUUAUACAGACUUCUCUGCACCUUGAUUUUCUCCUUCAAUAAUACUUCACAGAGAUUUCUCCUGUUUAACUACCAGAGUUCUUUUUCAUUCUAAUGACUCAAACUUUAUUGAUUUAGCUCUACCAUAAAUUAUCUAUCUUUCCACCAUCCAUGGCAGUCGAUUUUGCCGUUAUUAACAAUAACCGUCCUUUGUAUACUAGAGGAUUUGCUUCCAUGGGAUAGAUUCCAAAGGGUGAGAUUUCUAGGUCAAAGAAUGUUUCAAAAUUACAGAGCCAUGUCCGUGUCUUUCCCCUAAAGGCUGUCAUAACGCCCCUUUCCAGCCAUGUCUGAGGCACCCUUCUCCCCACAGCACCCCCCGGCCCCAGCCAUAGGUGGUGUAGAUUUUUAAAUUGUGCCAGUUUCACUGGGACUUUGAUAUUUUCUUCACUACCAGUGUUUUUGAACAACUUUGAUUAUGCUUAUUGGCCAUUCGUAUUUGCUCUGAACGGUCUUUUGAAUUCAUUGCUCAUUUUGUAAGUCCUCAAUUUUUGUCUUCCUUGUAUAAAAUGGAAAUAGUUGUUAAUCCUUAUCACCGACAUUUCCCAUAACUUCCCAAAUCCAUCGCUGAUGUAUCACAUUCUUAGAUGUUUUUUUUUUUUUUUGCCCAGAAUGAUCAGUUGAGUCAGCAGCAUUUAUAAGAUAAACCAUAAUUUUCCUGAGUUGAAAUACCACCUCUGUAUUAACGGUUAUUAUGAUAAUCUUUGUGGAUUUGCUACUUCGUUUCCUUGGUCUAGCUUUCAGUUCCUAUGCUAUGUAAUAUUUGUUCCGUUAGUUGAUGAAGCAGCCUCCUUCUUUUUCAUGUUUUUGUUGUCUGUUCUUUCGUAUCUGUUAUACUAUUUGCAUCUUAAGAUUACUGUAUACAAUUCAACAAAUAACUAGGUAAAUAUUCUAAUGGGAAUUGCAAUACAUUUGUAUGUUGGUUUUGGGGGACUGUCAUUGAUUAAACAAGACUUCCCAUUUGAUAAAACAUAUUUUUUGCAUUAUUAAGGUUUAAUUUUAUUUCCUCCUCUACUUCAAAUAGGCUCUUUUCUGUUCCAGUCAAAACAACGUUUUCCUAAGUAGUUUAUGGUUUUGGACACAAUUUGAUGCAAUCAUGUAGUAAAGAAAAUUGUCUUUAUUCCUCCCACCCUGAAACUUCCAAUUUUGGGCACUGUGUCUAGAUUGGAGAGAAGUCAUUGAUUUUGGUAUAUUUGGCUUGUCAGUUUACCAAAAUUUUUAUCCUCAUUUUCUAGGUAUGCAAUUAUAUUAUCAUCAUAAAAAGAAGAAAAUCUGUUUUAAUAUUUAAUUCAUUCCUUAACUUUUCUAGCUCAUUAAUUCACCUAGAAAAGUAUGUUGGGUCAUAAAAGUAAUAACAGUAUAUUUGUCUACUUCCAAAUUUUAUUAGCAUGAAUGGAGUAUUUUUCCAUUUAUCUAAUAUCUACUAUGUUUUAUGAUAAUUUUUUAUGCCCCAGUAGAUAAUAUAUUGACCUGCUGACCAUUACAGUAAUGACAUACACCUUGUUUCUGAUAGUUAAGUGCUUCCACCUGGCUUCUGCUGCUCUGGGACCCCAUUAUUCCCAUUGCUACUAG